GCGGGGAUGGCCCAGACCGGCAAGGCGUUGGAUUGCUAUCCGCUUCUCGCGCGAGAAGAGGCAAACAUCCAAUGCUCGAGAGAGCUCGGGGGUUCAAAUCCCCCUCCCCGCG
rnacentral:tRNA from 1 species